UACGAAGGGGGCUAGCGUUGUUCGGAAUUACUGGGCGUAAAGGGCGCGUAGGCGGCCAUUCAAGUUAGGUGUGAAAGCCCUGGGCUCAACCUAGGAAUUGCACUUGAUACUGUUUGGCUUGAGUUCGGGAGAGGUGAGUGGAAUUCCCAGUGUAGAGGUGAAAUUCGUAGAUAUUGGGAAGAACACCAGUGGCGAAGGCGCUCACUGGACCGACACUGACGCUGAGGCGCGAAAGCGUGGGGAGCAAACAGGG
rnacentral:rRNA from 1 species